GCGGGGCCGGGCACGGGCGGCUGACUGAUGUUUACCAGGGGGUGGAGGCCACUUAAGAGAGAACUGCAGAGAAGAACUGCAUAUUUGAAUGGACUAUUAACACAAGAGCAGCACUUGACAACUGGCUACUUCACCCUUGCCCUGAACUUCCUGCUCAGAGCUUGCCAUGAUUGAUUUUACAGGGCUCACAGAAGUCCUGCGUUUGCUCCUGUUAUCUCUA